rnacentral:lncRNA from 1 species
GUUACCAUUAGGUGUGCUAGCCCAGACGUUGUAUUUAAUGCACUUAUGCACAUCAUCCUCGCUGUAAGAUUUGAUGAUGAAAAAUUUAGCAUUAGCAUAUUCCUCAGGGAAAUCUGCUUUGUUAUAUUGUUCUCGGUCUGGAACCACAGUUGUCUUAUCCUUCUCCUCAACAUUAGUAUCACCUGAUGGCACACUCUGCCCCUUGACUGCAACUGUGGCAGGAACAAAACCCUUUUGGUUUUUGAAAUAUCCCUUGGCCCUAGGUCCUCUGUUCAGCUCAUUCAAACCAUCAAUGCUGUCAUUGUGAUAACCAAAAUAACCAUUGCCUCGCCCCUUGGGUUUGUAUUUGCUGUCGAUAGCUAACCACCCAUGUCCAUUUAUUCCUGCAUUAUAACCACCAGAUCCAAAGCCCAUACCAGAUUUGAAACCGUUUCCAUAUUGACCAUAGAAUUUGUUUGGAUACAUCCUAUUCAUAUAUCCAUGAGUUGAACCCAUGCCUGAUGCCAGAGCAGGGUGCUGCCAUCCCUGAUGAAUCAAACAACAUCAUCCAUGAGAAAAGAAUACUCUAUAAAAUGACUAAUACUAAUGAGCAAAACAAGGAAUGUUCACAAAAGGGGUCUGGAAACAUUUACAAAAAUCAAAAGUCACGCUCAAAAAUUAAUAAAGCCCCAACAUUGAUAAACAAGUUUACAAUCCAAAAUGGCAUGGCAACAUUUAAAGCGUUGUAGAACUGAAAGAUAGGGGGGCAGACAUCAACUUAAGCUAUCAAUUUGGACAAAUAAAUAAUAGAAUGGGGAAAAGGAUUCAACAAACUGAAUCAUUUGAUUACGAUUUAAGAAGAAUAAAUUAGGACACGUGAUUUAUUAUCAUCCAUUUGGUCAAAAAAAUGCAACAGAUAGAACGAGGAAAACUAUAGAUCACAUACCAUUAAAUGAGAAUUUUGAUGGAAAUUCUGGUUCCUUGAAGAUGGAGCAUUGCCAGCCUUUGAAAAUGAAGAAGAAAUCUCAGUGUUUUUGUACAGCCCAUUGGAAAUCACAGAGGUAUCCAGCAAUGGGAUAUCAGGUUGUAACCUAUCAAAACGAGAUUUCAGAUCCUUGUAACCAGAAGCAGGAAGUCCCUUUGUAAAACCACCCCUUCCAUAUGAAUUUUGAUACUUGGGCUUGUAGGGAACUGCACCGUUGCUUCCCUUAACAUCCACACCAUUUGCAAUGCCAUUAGAAUUUUCUUUAGCUGUCUCCGCAGGCAGAGUCUUCUGGUCGGUAGCUGUUGAGACAGAAAGAUCGCCUUGGGAAGGGGCUACAUGGCUGGGUGUGAAGGGCUCACCGCUUGGAGUCAAUGGCUGGAAGUAGGGAGGAGGAUAUUGGUAGUGCUGAGGACCAUAUAACUGACCAUCAUUUCCCAUAGCGGGAACCGGAGAAGCUGCUGGUGAAUAUGGGCUAUAGGGUCCAUACCAAUAACCAUGAGGAUACAUAGCAGAUCCG